GCUCAGUCCCUACGGCCGUCCACCCCUCCACACACUUUCCAUGCCAAACACCAGCCCUAGCUUAUUUUAUCUCUGCUUCACCCAGACCAGCUCUAAAACAAUGUCCCUCUGCCUCCUCCUCCCUUGCCCGAGCCGCGCAUGGAGCUUAAAAUGCUCCGUACACGUACAUACCCGUGCUGCUGGCUCUGAAGGACAUGGGUGGAGACCGAGGCGGGAAGAGGGAGGCACAGGGCGGGGAGAAGCCGCCUGUAGCUUCUCCCAGGCCUCGUUCAGGGCCACCCCCCCAGGGACCUCUGCUAUCUGCUACAUGGAAGCUCGCUCAACUUGCACGUUUGUUUGCGUGGGGCUGCAUACCACAGAUGUGAGUGAAGAGGGGACGAUUAUGUAGCAGUGUGACUGCAGGGCAGGCACUAGACUAAUACUAGUGGACUGGGAGAAGUCACUCUCCAGCGUUUCUUCUUUGCGGAUACGGUGAAGACCCUGUCUGAAAUAAGGUCUUAUCAUCUACCAACAGACAUGGUAAGUCAAGGUGAGGAAAUGGAGACCCAGAUUAUCUUCAAAGUGGUAAAACUAACGGAAGCUAAAACCAGAAUUUGAACUUAACGAUUUAGCUCCGGAUUCCACACCUUGAGUGUCCCUUCCUGUCCUCUUCAUGGCAACCAGAAAGCAGAGAAAAAAGGGAGGAACCAGGAAGGAAGAGAGACCCUGCCAGGUGAAGACCCCGUUGACCUGCCACUUCUGACCACAAGCCACCUCUGAACAGCAAGCCAGCUAUCAUGCCCCAUGGUCCGGUCAUCUUCCAAGCCCACCUUUAAGGGCAUGAGAGUUGGGGUGGACAGCCAGCUGUAAACAGUAACACUCAGCAUCCCCUUAUAUUCAUGCCUCUUAAGCCUGGAGUUCACAAGACCUGGAUACCACCCACCAUGACAUGGAUUUCUGUCUUUGUCUGCUGUCUUCCUAAAUAUCUUGUGUAUUAACACACCUGAAUGACCUCACCUUAGUGGCUUUCCUUAUGAAACUUAUUUUAACUAGAACUGGAAUGUCCACUCCAUUAUUUUCAUCAUCUAAAUCCAAUUCUUUGAAGACAAUAAGGCAAAACAUUUAUAAUAGUUGAGUAUAAAGGUUUAUGUAUAUAGGUCUCACUGUGACUUAUGAUUUGCUGUAUUGUUCAAAUAUUAACAAUAAAAGUUAGGUAAUAAAUGUUUACAAGUAAUCCAAUUUGUCCUUCAGGGAUAAAAUGACUUCCUAUUCUGGAAAUCUUCUUUCUUCUUCCUUUUUUUUUCCACAUGGUACCUGGGAUGUAGUUCAUGUCUGAUCUCCUAAAACUGGGAGUACAGUGUAACUACUUGGUGUGUGAACUAAUUUCCAUUUAUCAGAUUGAAGCUCCAAUUGGUUCAGGGCCUGCCUCACUCACCUAUGUGUACAAUACAAACAUUGCCAACGGGCUCUCAGGUGAGAUACCCAAAUAACUUGCACAUGUAACUGAAUUAUGGUGACAUAUGCGGUCAGCACGGGUUGUCUGUGUGUGGAAAUGGCCCUGUAAAGAAUGAGUGAAGAUAAAUAAUGACAUUAAUAAGCAGCAGCAAAGCAAAAAUAAAACACCCUAAGGAAAUAAUUUUCAACAGUAAAAGGAGUGAGAUAUUUAGAAUGUGAAAUGAAAUUUCCGAGGAAUUAUUGAUAAUUUUCUAGGGAUUUGAAAAAAUGUUGGCAGUUAGCAUCGUUUCUUAGCACUGUGGUUUUAAUACACGGGGUGCAUCUCUUGAGACUUGAAUGUGAGUUUUCAGCUAAGUGAAACCAACCCUUUCAUUUAUCACCAAAGUCCAUGGCCAAGCAGAACACGUGUUUAAAAAUGUGCAUCUCCUAGGAAUCUGGGGCACAGGAGGAGAGUUUAAGUCAUAACAUUUGAUAAAUGGAGAAAAAUAAAAAGUGUUUAUUGAAGAUGUGGAAAUUUCCUGAGAAACGGGGAAUUUCGAUGAAUUACCAAGUGUAUAAGAAUAUGUUUAGUCCACAAAUAAAAGUUAUGCUGGAGUGAAGGGUGACAAAAUAUUGAACUAGAACUUCCAUAGCAGUUUUUUGGUAUUAUUGGAAGGUAUUUCUAGAUUUUCUAAAAGUCUAAUUUCAAAAUAAGUAUAAACUUAAACUUAGGCAUCCUGAGUGAAUAAUUUAGAUUCCUUCAAUGAGCCCCACGUUAGCCAUGCCAAGCCAGUGUGUCCUGAUGAAUUCACUGAAGGAUUUAGGGACCAGAGUUAUUAAGAGUAGCGAAAGCGGACACUACUGCAUUAGCUGGGACUGCAUUAGUCACUAGCCCUCUUACGACACGUGCCCUGGUAGUUGGCCAGGCAAAGCUAAGCAGGAGAUUAUUCACAGAAUUCAUUUUGGUGCAGCACACUGUGUAAUACUGACAUAGUAGCCUCGGUCUCCAGUGAUAGCCUCCAUGUCCACAGUGGCUCAGAGUGAAAGUCUUACUCAUUCACUGUUGCUCAGAAACAUAUCAGGAAAAGCUCUCCAAGGCCACCAGGAAGGAGGCCACUGCUGAAAGAGCAGGAAGUGGGAGGAAGCCUGCCUAGAUUCCCAGAGAGGGACAGGAAGUGUCAGGGUGACUUUUCCCCUUGACUUGCAUUCCAGUAAUCACUUAUUUUGCUGAUUGUUCAUUGCAGAGACAGCAAGGUCUUCGCCCUAGGCAGUGUUGCUUUUCUGAAGCCCACGUGGUGCACCCGGGAAAAAGCCAACCUGCUUUCUGUGCAGCGUCCUGUGGCGGAAUCUCUCUCCCUCCCCUCUGUGGUCACCGACCACCCUGGGGCCCAGGCUUGAGCUCCAGCACCGAGACCAGAAUUGCCCCGGUGUCCCAUCUCCUCUCCCUCAGUUUGGACGGAAGCUUGGGGAAGCCUGUCCUAGUCCUCUACAGGGACUGAAGGCAUUGCUAACUGUCCUCAAAACAGGAAAGAAAAAUUAAGGAAGGGCUGCAGACUGACUGAAACCUGACCACUGGGAGAAACGUUCUGAGAGAAAAGCUGUUUUUCUCCAAGAGGGACUGGAUGGUUUUACUUUCAAUUAGAGUAACUUUCUCCUCUUAGCUUGGAGAAGGAAGGUGGAGCAGGAGGGAGGAUGGAGCCAGAGAAACAGAAAACAAGAAACCUAAAACACAAAUGGGGUUUCGAAAGAGGAGCAGCAUGUGAGACACACAAAAGGGGAUGUGGAGCGCGUUGCAGGCGGGCUGCUACCCUGAGCAGGAGCCAGGUAGCCAGCAGGGGUGUGGGGUGCACGCCUCCCUCACACCACAAGUGUGUUGAGUGCAUGGGGAGGCCACAUCGGGUGGGGAAGGAGAGGAACAGCGCAGCAGGCUACAAACAUGUUUUGGGGCUGGGGAAGUAUGAAUUCCAAGUCUGGCUCCUCUACUUACUUUGUAAAUUGAGCAAAUGCUAUUGGAAUUUCUAAACUUUAAGUUCUUCCACAUUUACAUGUUAAAAAUUAACUGCCCCAUGGAACAAUUCUAAGUAAUGUAUUCAUGUAUUAUAUUAGACAUCAUAGUAAGUAAUAUUGAAAGCAAAGGGAGAUUAUUACAUCCCCAGAACAUUCAAAGUGCUUCAUCCACCAGCUCUAUUUCAUACAACAAUUACACAAGGACCUAAGCUGAAGAGCAGAAUAUGCAGUCCUUACCACCGCACCUAAUGUGGAAGAGGAACUCCGUAAACAAGAAUAGUUACUGCUUAAAAUAUCACCUGUUUAUUUUACACUGUGGGGAAAUAAAGUUUCUUAAAUAGUGAUCUGAUUGCUCGAACUGUCUGGAAAAAGAAUGUAGCUGCCAAAAAAAUAUUUGUAUAGAAAGAAAAUAGCUUAAUUAACAAAUCAAAUAAUUAUAUUCUCACUAAAACUCAUAUUGAACUGCAGUAUGUUUUGACACAAAUUUGUCUAGAUUUUUUCAGAGAGAGAGAGAGACAGACACAGAGAGAAAGAGAUUCAAUUGCUCUUCAAAAUAGUAAGAUCACUGAACAACAGAAUUUUCUUCUCUUAGAUUUAUAAUUUGCCCUCUAAGUUAAGGAAGGACAAUAUGUUUUUAAUCUUGAUCUCAAUAAAAUGUAGAACCAUUAAGUGUGAACAGUGUAUUGAGCAAAUAGUUGCCUAGAUAUAUAAAAUUAGGAUGUAAAAAUAAAUCUUUUAUAGUUAAAAAAAUUUUUUGUUGUUGUUUUUUUGUUUUGGUACUGGGGAUCAAACUUGGGACCUUGUGCUUGUGAGGCAAGGCAGCAGCAACACUGAGCUAAGUUUCCAGCCCUUUAUAAAAAUUUUUAACAACAAAAACUAGGCAAAAUUCUUGAAAUUGUUCACAGAGCUUCUUUUUGUUGUUGUUUUUAUAUGAUGCACUAAAAAACUUAAACAAAGCCGUGGAUUUUUAAUUGUAUUUACUUCACUUUCUAAUUUUAUGUCUUCAUAGUUGUUCAGAAAUUUUCUGAAGUACAAAAUUAUCCCAAAUUCUGAUACCUUCAUAAGUCUUAUGCCUGCUUGUCAUGUGUCUUCCUUUCAUAUUCAGUUUCAGGUAUUUUACUCCAAGGUUUACUUGUGAGUUCUAGAAAUCAUCCAGAAAUCUUAGGGUUGUGUUUGGCCCUUCAGCUCCAUUUGGAAGCACUGUCCUCUGCCUGGUGAAAAUAUUUGUCAUGCUG
rnacentral:lncRNA from 1 species